rnacentral:rRNA from 1 species
UGGUGACCAUGGCGGAGGGGAAACACCCGGAUCCAUACCGAACCCGGCAGUUAAGCCCUCAAGCGCCGAUGGUACUGCGGGGGGGACCCGUGGGAGAGUAGGUCGUUGCCAUGU